UGUGUGCGUGUGAGCCUGUGUGUGUGAGAGAGGGCCUCAACGACCAUUUAAGAAUGGGUUGAGAUAUAUGAAAAAUUACGUAUUGACAAAAAACAAAACAAAACAAAACAUGGCUGUAAAUCCAACAUCUCAGAUAUCCAUUGCAGCCCUGAUUUUGUCUUCCUUUAUCAGUGUUUUUGAUGUGCUGCUGGAUGGGUAACGUGUAUUUGUGUCCGUUGGUGUGAUUGUAGUGAACUUUGCUGGAGGGUUGUUUCCUGUCUCUGCCAUACAUUUUCUCCUCUUGUUAUGACGGUUUUCUGCACAUACUCUUGCUUCCUCACCCAGUUCACAGAGAUGCGUUGUAGGUUGAUUGACAUCUUUAAAUGAUACACUGGCACCUAAUCUUGUGUGUCUAUUGAGUUGUGCCCUGGAAUAUACUCUAGAGUCUAGACUACAGAAACUGGAUAUUUGGAUUGAGUUGUAGAAAAAAACAUUAAUAAUGAGCCUGGUUCCUCUAAAGGUUUUUUCUCUCAUGUCAUCUUAGGGAGUUUUUCCUCACCACCAUUGCCUCAGGCUUGCUCAUUAAGGAUCAAUUCGAUUUUAAACGUUAUAAUUUUUGUAUUCCUGUAAAGCUGCUUCAAUACAAUGUCCAUUGUUAAAAGCUCUAUAUGAGUUAUUUUUUUAAUAUAUUUUUUUUAGUUGUGGAUGUCUAAUGGAUAUGAGGAAAUAUAAAAGUAUGACAUCAUGCGCAGACUUUGUUCUUAUUUUCACUGCAGUUAUUGUUUUUCAUGGAGUUCUUGAAAUCCCCUAGCACAUGCAACCACUGAGUAAUUAGGAAAUCCAUUUGUUUCCCCUUAAAUUAACAGACAAUUUUUCUGAACAGAUGACAAGUCAGAUGCUUUCUUUCACAUUAAGGACAAAACUGUAUUUAGUGUCCAAACCAAAAGGUGAUGUUUUCCUGAGAUUUUUGCUGAAGAAUUGAUGAGGAAAUGUUUCCUCCUCCAAGUUGCCUUAUCAGUUCUGGUCUUUCACUUCCUCUUUUUCAACUCGUCCGAGAUGUGACACUAACCAUAUUGUGACAGAUGCUCAGGACUGAUCUAUGGCAGUAAUCUGGAAAUGAGCACUCAGUUUGAAGCUCCUAAUUAAAAAUCUCUCCCUCGCCUGCCAGAAACACUCAGUAUGGAGGAGCAUUCAGGCUGGCUGGAGUGUGCAUCGGUCUAAUUUGUAUCAUUCAGGCGACGCUCAACAUCGUCCUGAAGCUGUACUCUGAAGAGCUCAAGAAGCCGGGGUGGAUCUUAUUCAGGUCGAGCAUUUACUACCUGUCUGCUGAGGAGAAGAACUGGUUUGACAGCAGAGCUGAAUGUAGAAGAGACGGAGCAGACCUGGUGAUUAUCAAAAGCAAAGAAGAACAG